rnacentral:lncRNA from 1 species
ACAACUCCAUUUUCAGGAGAUCAACACCCUCCUCCGACCUCUUCAGGCACCAGGCAUCUACCUGCAUGGUGCCAAUACAUACAUAUGGGCAAAAUACUCAUCCACAUAAAACAAAAUAAUUUGAAAGAAAGAAAGGAAAGGAAAAAGAGAAAGCUGAAUAGACUUAGGAAGUAUAAUAUGAAGCUAGGUAACCCAAUCCAGGGCAGACAGAAAAAAUCUGCCUUGAAAAACAAGCAAUGGGGUUGGGGAUUUGGCUCAGUGGUAGAGCGCUUGCCUAGGAGGCGCAAGGCCCUGGGUUCAGUCCCCAGCUCUGAAACAAAACAAAACAAAAACAAAAAAAAAAAAAAAAAGAAAGAAAAGAAAAGGAAGGAAAAGAAAAGAAAAGAAA